AGUUAGCGGCGGACGGGUGAGUAACACGUGGGCAACCUACCUGUAAGACUGGGAUAACUUCGGGAAACCGGAGCUAAUACCGGAUGACAUAAAGGAACUCCUGUUCCUUUAUUGAAAGAUGGCUUCGGCUAUCACUUACAGAUGGGCCCGCGGCGCAUUAGCUAGUUGGUGAGGUAACGGCUCACCAAGGCGACGAUGCGUAGCCGACCUGAGAGGGUGAUCGGCCACACUGGGACUGAGACACGGCCCAGACUCCUACGGGAGGCAGCAGUAGGGAAUCUUCCGCAAUGGACGAAAGUCUGACGGAGCAACGCCGCGUGAGCGAUGAAGGCCUUCGGGUCGUAAAGCUCUGUUGUUAGGGAAGAAUAAGUGCUAGUUGAAUAAGCUGGCACCUUGACGGUACCUAACCAGAAAGCCACGGCUAACUACGUGCCAGCAGCCGCGGUAAUACGUAGGUGGCAAGCGUUGUCCGGAAUUAUUGGGCGUAAAGCGCGCGCAGGCGG
rnacentral:rRNA from 1 species